rnacentral:rRNA from 1 species
ACUCAAAGGAAUUGACGGGGGCCCGCACAAGCGGAGGAGCAUGUGGUUUAAUUCGAUGAUACGCGAGGAACCUUACCCGGGCUUGAAAGUUAGUGACCGAUCUUGAAAGAGAUCUUUCAGCAAUGACACGAAACUAGGUGCUGCAUGGCUGUCGUCAGCUCGUGCCGUGAGGUGUUGGGUUAAGUCCCGUAACGAGCGCAACCCCUGUUAUUAGUUGCCAGCACGUCAAGGUGGGAACUCUAAUAAGACUGCCCGCGCAAGCGGUGAGGAAGGUGGGGAUGACGUCAAGUCAGCACGGCCCUUACGUCCGGGGCUACACACGUGCUACAAUGGAUGGUACAGAAGGAAGCUACCAGGUGACUGGAUGCAAAUCUCCAAAGCCAUUCUCAGUUCGGAUCGAAGUCUGCAACUCGACUUCGUGAAGCUGGAUUCGCUAGUAAUCGGAUAUCAGCAAUGAUCCGGUGAAUACGUUCCCGGGCCUUGUACACACCGCCCGU